GUGGGGAAUAUUGGACAAUGGGCGAAAGCCUGAUCCAGCCAUGCCGCGUGUGUGAAGAAGGUCUUCGGAUUGUAAAGCACUUUAAGUUGGGAGGAAGGGCAGUAAGUUAAUACCUUGCUGUUUUGACGUUACCGACAGAAUAAGCACCGACUAACUUCGUGCCAGCAGCCGCGGUAAUACGAAGGGUGCAAGCGUUAAUCGGAAUUACUGGGCGUAAAGCGCGCGGAGGUGGUUUUGUAAGUUGGAGGUGAAAUCACCGGGCUCAACCUGGGAACUGCCUCAAAAACUGCAUGACUAGAGUACGGUAGAGGGUAGUGGAAUUUCCUGUGUAGCGGUGAAAUGCGUAGAUAUAGGAAGGAACACCAGUGGCGAAGGCGACUACCUGGACUGAUACUGACACUGAGGUGCGAAAGCGUGGGGAGCAAACAGGAUUAGAAACCCCGGUAGUCC
rnacentral:rRNA from 1 species